rnacentral:rRNA from 1 species
UUUAGAGUUUGAUCCUGGCUCAGAACGAACGCUGGCGGCAGGCCUAACACAUGCAAGUCGAGCGCGCCUUUCGGGGUGAGCGGCGGACGGGUUAGUAACGCGUGGGAAUAUGCCCUUUUCUACGGAAUAGCCUCUGGAAACGGAGAGUAAUACCGUAUGAGCCCUUCGGGGGAAAGAUUUAUCGGGAAAGGAUUAGCCCGCGUUAGAUUAGGUAGUUGGUGGGGUAAUGGCCUACCAAGCCUACGAUCUAUAGCUGGUUUUAGAGGAUGAUCAGCAACACUGGGACUGAGACACGGCCCAGACUCCUACGGGAGGCAGCAGUGGGGAAUCUUGGACAAUGGGGGCAACCCUGAUCCAGCCAUGCCGCGUGAGUGAAGAAGGCCCUAGGGUCGUAAAGCUCUUUCGCCUGG